CAUAAUAUUGUUGAACUUGGGCUUCAUUCCGACCUUGAAAACUCCCGGUUGGGAUAGCAGAUGGGCCACGCCGCCAAGCANUAAGAUAAGUUGGUGAAGUAACGGGUUCAACCAAGUUCUACGAUCUUAUAAGGGGGCCUGAAAAGGGGUUGAUCCCCCAAAACUUGGUUACUGAGACCACGGGACCAAGACUACCUUAACGGGGAGGGCAAGCAGUAGAGGAACUAUUUGGACCAAUGGGUAGAGAGCCUGAUACCAGGCCAUACCCGCGUAGAAGGACGAUAGCCUAUAGGGUUGUAAACUUACUUUUGUAUAGGGAUAAACCUACCCUACGUAGAGGGUAGCUAGAAGGUACUAUACGGAAUAAAGCACCCGGCUAACUACCGUAGCCAGCAGCCGCGGGUAAUACGGAGGGUAGCAAGCGUAAUACCGGCAUAUACAUGGGUUAUAAAAGGGUCCGGUAAGGCGGAUAUGAGUAAGUNAAAGUGGUUGGAAAUCUACACAAGUUUAACUUGGUGGAAAUUGGCCAUUGAUAACUAGCAAGGGUACUNGGAAGUAGUNAGUAGAGCAAACGUUAACGCCUUUGGGGGACAUUAAAGC
rnacentral:rRNA from 1 species